rnacentral:lncRNA from 1 species
GCCAUUGGGGGCGGCGCUGGCACUGGAACUGGCACUGGCGCAGGCGCUGGCACUGGCACAGGCGCUGGCGCUGGAGCCACCGGCACCGGGGGAGGGUUUUCAGGCUUCGGUUUCGGCGGGGGCGGGGGAUUUUCCUUGGGCUUUUCGGGUACCUUGGGCUUCUCUGGCACCUUUGGCUUCUCUGGCUCCUUUGGCUUAGGUGGCGCCUUUGGCUUUUCAGGUUCUUUGGGCUUCUCUGGCUCUUUGGGCUUGACUGGUUCCUUGGGUUUUUCGGGCUCCUUAGGCUUCUCAGGUGGUUUGGGCUUGGGAGGUUCGAGAAUUUCAAUGCUUUUGAUAGUCCCACAGCCUUUGCAGCAAAUCUUGUCCCUCAGCUUCUCAGGGUUACAGCAUACCACCGUUAUGGUCACCAUGUCAUGCUUCUCGUCAUAAAC